UAUUAACUUUAUCAUGUUUUAUCUGCCAUUGAUAUAGGUUUGUGUUCUGUGCUCUAUUUAAAAUGCAUGCAAAAUAAUACUAAUUAUGAAAAGUACUUUUUCCUGAUCCAGUUGAUGUUUACAACUGGAUUUAAAACUAAUUUACCAACAGAUUCUACCCUUAUGUUAAUCUAGCUAUUUGAUUUCAAUCACAAAACAUUUGCAUAACAGAACCAAUAGUAAUGUUGGCUAACUGUGGUUUAUCCGAUGGCCCAAUCACUGCUCCGAUAGCAGAACGUAUAUCUCUCUAUUCCAGGUUCCUAAUUCACACUUCAUGUUUGGCAUUUGGAAGAGCACAACUUUAGAAGACUUCAACGAGAUUGUUUCCUACAUUGGAGAGUUAUCUUUCUAUUAUAGUUUAAAGAUUUAUCUACCUACAAGAUCCCAAGAUCCUAAGCGCACUGAGCCAUUUCUCAUCUCACUUUUUUUCUUUCCGAAGUAAAAGGAAAAUGAGACCCAAAAGAGUUUCUCCUGAAAAGGAAGCCUUGUACUUCAUUGCUUCGGGGAAAGAUAAAGACACAUUCGAGAAAAAAUUAAUGUGUGAAGAGAAAGGUAAGUUACGGCAUUCAAUUCUGCCAUCAGUAUGACUUUGCAAAACUUAAUUAAAAGCUAAGUUUGGUCUCUAAAUAAUGUCGAAUGGUUGGGUUUAAAAUGUGUAGCUAAAAACAACA